rnacentral:misc_RNA from 1 species
UGACGAUUGACUCAUGUUGCCUCGGCGGGUCCUCCCGCCAGAGGAUACAUCAAAACUCCUGUUUUAACGGUGUUGUCUGAGCUACAAGCAACGAAUCAAAACUUUCAACAACGGAUCUCUUGGUUCUGGCAUCGAUGAAGAACGCAGCGAAAUGCGAUAAGUAGUGUGAAUUGCAGAAUUCAGUGAAUCAUCGAAUCUUUGAACGCACAUUGCGCCCCUUGGUAUCCCGAGGGGCAUGCCUGUUCGAGCGUCAUUUCACCACUCAAGCCUGGCUUGGUGUUGGGCGACGUCCCCCUUUAGGGACGCGCCUCGAAACGCUCGGCGGCGUGGCACCGGCUUUAAGCGUAGCAGAAUCUUUCGCUUUGAAAGUCGGGGCCCCGUCUGCCGGAAGACCUACUCACAAGGUUGACCUCGGAUCAGGUAGGGAUACCCGCUGAACUUAAGCAUA